rnacentral:lncRNA from 1 species
AGAAUUUUUGUGUGUUCCCUUAUGUAGAGCUUUGUCCCUGACAACUGCUGGCAUCUGUCUCCCUUUCAGUGCUCCCCUGUGGGAUUCCUGGUUGUGCUCCAUGCAUGACAUCCCUGCCUCACUGAUUCUGCUCUGACCCACAGGCACAGCCUCCCUGGGAAGGGUUUUCCUGGCUCCUCACCAUGUUUUCUGGAGAGGAAGGAAGGGAGUGGAAGGGAACACCAAGAUGAGAUGGCUCUCUAGCCUUCUUCUCUUACUGAUGCUUUGACCUGAGGGUGCUCCUCUGCAAUCUACCAAGGUGCACAAUUUGUAAAAUUACCUACUGCCUCCAAUUCCAGCCUUCUCCCAUCCAUGGGAUUCUCCCUCCUGUUCUGUCUGGGGCCUUAUCUGAUACUGGCAGGACCAUUCCCUCGUGUGUUCAGUUAUGAAGCUGCUCCAGGAUAUUAAAACUUCUGCACUGCGAAGUUUUGAGCUGUCAGAGGAGCACAUUCCAGUGGUUCCAUCAUGCAGGUAAUUUUGGGGUGUCAGUGAAGCUAACUGUGCUACUGAAAGUUAGUCCAGGGGUUAAACAUCAUGCAAAAUAAAGUGGCAGAGGGUCACUCA